CAAUAGCGUAUACUAAUGUUGUUGCAGUUAAAAAGCUCGUAGUUGAACUUCUGGUAGGAGUGUCCCGGCCUUUUUGUUUUUACAAAUUGUAUGCUGUGUGACAUCUCUGGCCAUCCUUCUUCUUUGUUUAAAGAAGAUCUUUCACUGUAAAAAAAUUAGGGUGUUCAAAGCAAAAGUUUCUUUGGAAUAUAUUAGUAUGGGAUGAUAAGAUAGGCUCUAGAUGCUAUUUUGUUGGUUUGCACAUUUAGAGAAUGAUUAACAGGGACAGUUGGGGGUAUUCGUAUUUACAUGUCAGAGGUGAAAUUCUUGGAUUUUGGAAAGACGAACUACUGCGAAAGCAUUUACCAAGGAUGUUUUCAUUAAC
rnacentral:rRNA from 1 species